rnacentral:ncRNA from 1 species
CGGCCACCGUGCGACUGGCGAUGAGGCCCCGAGGGGCCGGAGGUGGGCAACCACCGGGAAGCAUGGUCGGCGCCGCCACCCGGCGCCGGUGCGCCGUUCGCCUGGGCAGCCCGU